UAAGGAAUAUUGGUCAAUGGACGCAAGUCUGAACCAGCCAUGCCGCGUGGAGGAUUAAGGCCCUCUGGGUUGUAAACUCCUUUUAUCUGGGAAGAAAUGUACUUUUUCUUGAGUACUUGACGGUACCAGAGGAAUAAGCACCGGCUAACUCCGUGCCAGCAGCCGCGGUAAUACGGAGGGUGCAAGCGUUAUCCGGAUUCACUGGGUUUAAAGGGUGCGUAGGUGGGCAGGUAAGUCAGUGGUGAAAUCUCCGGGCUUAACCCGGAAACUGCCGUUGAUACUAUUUGUCUUGAAUAUUGUGGAGGUCAGCGGAAUAUGUCAUGUAGCGGUGAAAUGCUUAGAUAUGACAUAGAACACCAAUUGCGAAGGCAGCUUACUACACAAUCAUUGACGCUGAGGCACGAGAGCGUGGGGAUCAAACA
rnacentral:rRNA from 1 species